rnacentral:tRNA from 1 species
UCCCUGGAGGACUAGUGGUUAGGCCUCGGUGCUCUCAACGCUGUGGCCCGGGUUCAAUUACCAGCUAGAGAA